rnacentral:rRNA from 1 species
GCAUAUCAAUAAGCGGAGGAAAAAGAAACCAACAGGGAUUGCCCCCAGUAACGGCGAGUGAAGCGGCAACAGCUCAAAUUUGAAAUCUGGCCUUCGGGUCCGAGUUGUAAUUUGUAGAGGAUGCUUUUGGCGCGGUGCCUUCCGAGUUCCCUGGAACGGGACGCCAUAGAGGGUGAGAGCCCCGUCUGGUUGGACACCAAGCCUCUGUAAAGCUCCUUCGACGAGUCGAGUAGUUUGGGAAUGCUGCUCUAAAUGGGAGGUAUAUGUCUUCUAAAGCUAAAUAUUGGCCAGAGACCGAUAGCGCACAAGUAGAGUGAUCGAAAGAUGAAAAGCACUUUGAAAAGAGAGUUAAAUAGCACGUGAAAUUGUUGAAAGGGAAGCGAUUAUGACCAGACUUGGGCUUGGUUGAUCAUCCGGCGUUCUCGCCGGUGCACUCUUCCGGCCCAGGCCAGCAUCAGUUCGCUGCGGGGGAUAAAGGCGUCGGGAAUGUGGCUCCCUCGGGAGUGUUAUAGCCCUUCGUGCAAUGCCCUGCGGUGGACUGAGGACCGCGCUUUAUGCAAGGAUGCUGGCGUAAUGGUCAUCAUCGACCCGUCUUGAAACACGGACCAAGGAGUCGUCUUCGUAUGCGAGUGUUCGGGUGUCAAACCCCUACGCGUAAUGAAAGUGAACGCAGGUGAGAGCUUCGGCGCAUCACCGACCGAUCCUGAUGUUCUCGGAUGGAUUUGAGUAAGAGCAUACGGAGCCGGACCCGAAAGAAGGUGAACUAUGCCUGUAUAGGGUGAAGCCAGAGGAAACUCUGGUGGAGGCUCGCAGCGGUUCUGACGUGCAAAUCGAUCGUCAAAUAUGGGCAUGGGGGGCGAAAGACUAAUCGAACCUUUCUAGUAGCUGGGUUCGCGAGU